AUUGAACGCUGGCGGCAGGCCUAACACAUGCAAGUCGGGCGAACGAGGCUUCGGCCAAGUGAGCGGCGAACGGGUGAGUAACACGUAGGAAUCUGCCUGGUAGUGGGGGACAACGUCUCGAAAGGGACGCUAAUACCGCAUACGCCCUACGGGGGAACGCAGGGGCUCUUCGGCCCUUGCGCGAUCAGAUGAGCCUGCGUCGGCUUAGCUAGUUGGUAGGGUAAAGGCCUACCAGGGCGACGAUCCGUAACUGGUCUGAGAGGAUGAUCAGUCACACCGGAACUGAGACACGGUCCGGACUCCUACGGGAGGCAGCAGUGGGGAAUAUUGGACAAUGGGGGCAACCCUGAUCCAGCCAUGCCGCGUGUGUGAAGAAGGCCUUCGGGUUGUAAAGCACUUUAGGUCGGGAGGAAGGUUCGCUGGCUAAUAUCCAGCGGAAUUGACGUUACCGACAGAAUAAGCACCGGCUAACUCCGUGCCAGCCGCCGCAGUAA
rnacentral:rRNA from 1 species